GGCGAGACUCCUACGGGAGGCAGCAGUGGGGAAUAUUGCACAAUGGGGGAAACCCUGAUGCAGCGACGCCGCGUGAGUGAAGAAGUAUUUCGGUAUGUAAAGCUCUAUCAGCAGGGAAGAAAUAGCGACCUUUGGGUCGCCAGACGGUACCUGACUAAGAAGCCCCGGCUAACUACGUGCCAGCAGCCGCGGUAAUACGUAGGGGGCAAGCGUUAUCCGGAUUUACUGGGUGUAAAGGGAGCGUAGACGGCAAUACAAGUCGGAAGUGAAAUACCCGGGCUCAACCUGGGAACUGCUUUGGAAACUGUAUGGCUAGAGUGCUGGAGAGGUAAGCGGAAUUCCUAGUGUAGCGGUGAAAUGCAUAGAUAUCACGCAGAACUCCGAUUGCGAAGGCAGCGUACCGGCGCCAGACUGACGCUGAGGCACGAAAGCGUGGGGAUCGAACAGGAUUAGAUACCCGCGUA
rnacentral:rRNA from 1 species